UACGGGAGGCAGCAGUGGGGAAUAUUGCACAAUGGGCGCAAGCCUGAUGCAGCCAUGCCGCGUGUAUGAAGAAGGCCUUCGGGUUGUAAAGUACUUUCAGUCGUGAGGAAGGUGUUAAGGUUAAUAACCUUAGCAAUUGACGUUAGCGACAGAAGAAGCACCGGCUAACUCCGUGCCAGCAGCCGCGGUAAUACGGAGGGUGCGAGCGUUAAUCGGAAUUACUGGGCGUAAAGGGCACGCAGGCGGUUAAUUAAGUUGGAUGUGAAAUCCCUGGGCUUAACCUGGGAAUGGCAUUCAAGACUGGUUAGCUGGAGUCUUGUAGAGGGGGUAGAAUUCCAUGUGUAGCGGUGAAAUGCGUAGAGAUGUGGAGGAAUACCGGGUGGCGAAAGGCGGCCCCCUGGGACAAAGACUGACGCUCAUGUGCGAAAAGCGUGGGGAGCGAAAACAGGGAUUAGAUACC
rnacentral:rRNA from 1 species